rnacentral:rRNA from 1 species
CAAGUCGAGCGAGGCGGCCCGCAAGGGUCAGUCGAGCGGCGAACGGGUGAGUAACGCGUGGAUAACCUGCCCAGAGGUGGGGGAUAACCCGGGGAGACUCGGGCUAAUACCGCAUGAUACCGAAAGGUCAAAGGGGGCUCGCAAGAGCUCCUGCCAUUGGAGGGGUCCGCGUCCGAUUAGCUAGUUGGUAGGGUAACGGCCUACCAAGGCGACGAUCGGUAGCCGGCCUGAGAGGGUGAUCGGCCACACUGGAACUGAGACACGGUCCAGACUCCUACGGGAGGCAGCAGUGGGGAAUUUUGCGCAAUGGGCAAACGCCUGACGCAGCAACGCCGCGUGGAGGAUGAAGGUCUUUGGAUUGUAAACUCCUGUCAGCAGGGAAAAAGCGAAUCGGCCUAACACGCCGGUGAGUUGAUUGUACCUGCAGAGGAAGCCCCGGCUAACUCUGUGCCAGCAGCCGCGGUAAUACAGAGGGGGCAAGCGUUAUUCGGAAUUAUUGGGCGUAAAGGGCGCGUAGGCGGCUUGGCAAGUGGAUGGUGAAAUCCCUCGGCUUAACCGAGGAACUGCCAUCCAAGCUGCUUUGCUUGAGGCCGGGAGAGGCGAGUGGAAUUCCCAGUGUAGCGGUGAAAU